AUGAUACUUACCAAAAACUUCGCCCGAC
rnacentral:piRNA from 1 species